AUGACUCCGUCGGCAUCUGUUGGAAAGGAAGUCAACUUGAAGGAAGUCAACUUCAACUUGAAGGAGGAUAAGAACAUACCCUGUGCUAUUCAGUUUGUAACGACGAUGUUGGGGACGUCUUCAACAUUGACGAUCGGGGACCGGAACAAGAAGUUCAGGGUGAGCCGUUCUUCGACUUGGAUAACGGUUGUCUUCACACAGUCUAUGUUCAUUGCCACCACAGCAGGUUGGAUCUACGACAUGUAUAAUAAACCUAUCUGGAAUGCCGGCUUCCCAUGGUGGCUGCCAGUUGCUGUGUUGUUGGGCGCCUACCUGGCAGUGGUAGACCUGGCGCGUGGGUAUUUGACCCUCUUCGUGCCACAGGCACCCUUGGCGGCAUGGAAUGCACUUGACGAAGUUGGCUUCAAGGUGAUUGGAUUUUCUGUCAUCUUAAUCUCUGUCCCUGUUUUCUUGUUUGACCAGGCGUGGCUGCACAUCACCUUUGCUUGCCUUCUUAGUGUCCUCAUUGCUACCAUACUUGCCUUCUGUGUCUGUCUUGUUCGCACGUACCGGCAAUAG
rnacentral:rRNA from 1 species